rnacentral:rRNA from 1 species
UGCGUAGGUGGUGAGGUAAGUCGGAUGUGAAAUCUCGGAGCUCAACUCCGAAAUGGCAUUGGAAACUACCUCGCUGGAGGAAUGAAGGGGGACUGGAAUUCUCGGUGUAGCAGUGAAAUGCGUAGAUAUCGAGAGGAACACCAGUGGCGAAGGCGAGUCCCUGGACAUCUCCUGACACUGAGGCACGAAAGCUAGGGGAGCAAACA